ensembl:lncRNA
GGGAAGAUUUAGACUAUAAGUGAGUCACAUUUACUGGUAGAAUCUUUCUUUUUAUUUUAAUUCUUGAGAAAUCAAUGUUGUUCAACCACUGUCAUUUGCUAUGUGCCAGGAGCAAUUCUCCAAACCUCCACUAAUUCUGUAAAGGCUUUGAUUGACAUGUCUCACUUUACUGUUAUCUGCACUAUCAGUGGUCUAUCCCUAUCAAAUUCUGACAACCAAAACACACAAAUCAAGCAUACACCUGAGAUUAGGACUUAGAGAAAUGUAAUUUACAACCAAGGGAAAAGAUGAGAUUUAGAUGCUGAUAGCAUCUUAGAGAUGCUUCUAGCAAAACCAUACUGUAGGUACUGAAUCUGGAUAGUGUUAGAGGAACUGGAUGAUUUAAAAUGAGUAAGUGCUUUAAUAACAUUGCUUACUACCAUAACAUCAAAUUCUUGAAAAUAAAAUCAGGUCUUUAGGCAGGAGAAGGGCAUCAUGAUUUUCCAGCAUAGAACCAUCAGUCAGUUUAAAUAAAUGUGAACCUGGACCUUCAUUCCAGUCUGUACUGAGUUUUAUAAGGCAUUUUAGCAAUUUUUGAUUAUGCAGAAGUUUGUAUAAAUUAGAAUAUUUGCAUCAGGAAAAGUAAGAAGUAAACCCAAACUUGAGUCUUGAUGUUAUAUGUUAGAUGAUAAUACAGCUCGUUCCUUAUUUUCCUUGAACAAAAUCUCCUGCACUAUCUGUAUUUUUCUUUAAUUCAAUCUCCACACUCCAACAAAACUGAAAGCAAAUAGAAUCCAAACCUUCUAAUUAAAACACCACCAAAACUCAUUAAUCUUCUCUGUAUUUAAUUUUUCUUCUUUUUUUAACUUUUACUUUCCCUAGUUAUCUCCCCUCUGUUUCAUAGGUAACAGCAAGUACCACUGUACAAGAAAAAAAUCAGAAUUUAACUAAAAGGUAGAGGUUAUGGUACCAGAGCGGUCAUGGCUUCAGAGUAGUUUUCUGCUGCUGAUUAUAGGGCUGGAUGGACCAUGGGCUAGAGCUGCACUACUAAAGCAAAGAAGAAGCUUCAGACAAAAGCCAGAGAGAAGGAGGCCAGUGAGCUGUGAGACUCAACUGCUCUGAGACUGGUGACCUUGAAGAGUCAUUGAAGACAAUUGUUGAGGACCAGGAAUCAGAAUGGGAACAAUUUCAGGAAUGGAAAAAGAUGUACAGCGAUUGAAAGGACUUUAUGAUACGGACUUUACCGUUAUUAUGUGUUUAUAAAUAUACACAUUGUAUGUUUCCCCAGGAUUUGUAUUUCCCGGGCAUGCCCAGACAUACCUGCUCCCUGCUUCCCUGCUCCCCUCUCGGAUAGGCUGCAGAAGCUGCAGAGAGGAGACAGUUCCCAUUCGCCCUUUCCUUCCCCGGUUCCUCCCACAUUCCUCCCCCUUUGCCUGUGUCCCUACCCCGAUUUGUUCCCCCGUUUGUCUGUCUCAUGCUCCACCCCAUGUUCUAGCCCUUUCCCUGCCUGAACUCAUAAAAACCCCGUGAACACCUCAAUAAAGCAUUCCAUUUACACCUCUACCUUGACUCC